rnacentral:rRNA from 1 species
GACGAACGCUGGCGGCGUGCUUAACACAUGCAAGUCGAACGGAAAGGCCCUGCUUUUGUGGGGUGCUCGAGUGGCGAACGGGUGAGUAACACGUGAGUAACCUGCCCUAGACUUUGGGAUAACUUCAGGAAACUGGGGCUAAUACCGGAUAGCAUCUCCUGCUGCAUGGUGGGGGUUGGAAAUUUUCGGCGGUUGGGGAUGGACUGGCGGCUUAUCAGCUUGUUGGUGGGGUAGUGGCUUACCAAGGCUUUGACGGGUAGCCGGCCUGAGAGGGUGACCGGCCACAUUAGGACUGAGAUAGGGACCAGACUCGUACGGGAGGCAGCAGUGGGGAAUCUUGUACAGUGGGAGGACGUCGGAGGCAGCAACGCCGCGUGCGGGAUGACGGUUUUCGGGUUGAAAACAGCUUUCGCCUGUGACGAAGCGGGAGUGACGGUAAUCGGUAAAGAAGCACCGGCUAACUACGUG